rnacentral:rRNA from 1 species
GUCCUGGCCCUAAACGAUGAAUGCUUGGUGUGGCGGGUAUCGAUCCCUGCCGUGCCGAAGCUAACGCAUUAAGCAUUCCGCCUGGGGAGUACGGUAGCAAGGCUGAAACUCAAAGGAAUUGACGGGGGCCCCGCACAAGCGGUGGAGCAUGUGGUUCAAUUCGACGCAACGCGAAGAACCUUACCCAGGCUUGAACAGCGAGUGACCACUUCCGAAAGGAAGCUUCCGCAAGGACACUCGUAGAGGUGCUGCAUGGCUGUCGU